AAAAACUAAUCGGAUCAUCCACUUUGCCAAAAUAAAAUAUCCGUAGAAAACUAAAAUUGUGUAGAAAAAUGUGUCCAUUUACCAAAAUUGUAUAAGAAUAUACAUUUGGUCCCGAGAAUUAAUUCAAUUGGGUGUAGAUUUUAAUAGAAACAAAUUAAAUGUUUAAAAUGUCUAAAUGAAACGAUGACGUUACUGAAUGGCGUUUUAAAUUUCCAUAAGUCUGUAAUAAGUCUGUAGUCUGUAGUUUUCCU